rnacentral:rRNA from 1 species
AUGCAGUCGAACGGCAGCACGGGGGCAACCCUGGUGGCGAGUGGCGAACGGGUGAGUAAUACAUCGGAACGUGCCCAGUGGUGGGGGAUAGCCCGGCGAAAGCCGGAUUAAUACCGCAUACGACCUACGGGUGAAAGCGGGGGAUCGCAAGACCUCGCGCCAUUGGAGCGGCCGAUGUCAGAUUAGGUUGUUGGUGAGGUAAAGGCUCACCAAGCCGACGAUCUGUAGCUGGUCUGAGAGGACGACCAGCCACACUGGGACUGAGACACGGCCCAGACUCCUACGGGAGGCAGCAGUGGGGAAUUUUGGACAAUGGGGGCAACCCUGAUCCAGCCAUGCCGCGUGCGGGAAGAAGGCCUUCGGGUUGUAAACCGCUUUUGUCAGGGAAGAAAUCUUUCGGGCUAACACCCCGGGAGCAUGACGGUACCUGAAGAAUAAGCACCGGCUAACUACGUGCCAGCAGCCGCGGUAAUACGUAGGGUGCAAGCGUUAAUCGGAAUUACUGGGCGUAAAGCGUGCGCAGGCGGUUGUGCAAGACAGGUGUGAAAUCCCCGGGCUUAACCUGAGAACUGCACUUGUGACUGCACGGCUGGAGUACGGCAGAGGGGGGAUGGAAUUCCGCGUGUAGCAGUGAAAUGCGUAGAUAUGCGGAGGAACACCGAUGGCGAACGCAGUCCCCUGGGCCUGUACUGACGCUCAUGCACGAAAGCGUGGGAGCAAACAGGAUUAGAUACCCUGGUAGUCCACGCCCUAAACGAUGUCAACUGGGUUGUUUGGGAAAGGUUCCUUCCUCAGU